rnacentral:lncRNA from 1 species
UGAGUAUUCAAGCUCCCAAUUCUUUGUAUUUUAUUAUCGUCCUGGAAGUCAUAACCCACUUCUCCGUCCCUUCCGGUGAACAAUAAGGGUUUUGGACCAUAUUGCAAAACACUUUCAUUUUGAUGCUGGUCAAAGUGAUUUUGGUUAUCUUGAUGGUCAAGGAAUUCAGUACCUAUGUAUAGAUAUGUAACACUUCGUAUCUGUUCUCCCUAGGAUCUUAAAACCUUGAAGAAGGCAGAACAACUGGGAAGAGAAAGAAGUAAAAGAGAGAAAAAAUAAAAACCUCAAAGCAAGGAGAUGGAAAGGAACAAAGAGGACACAGAUCUGGGAUUUGUGCAUGGUGACCAGUGAAGACCUCUGGCUCAACAGAGAAAACAUGGAGGCUUUGGUCCCCCGCCAUUCCCCAGAGAACCACAGAUGACUGCAGCCUCUGUCCCACUGUCACAACCUGUGACUCUGAGGUGCAAAUUUGGCCGUGCCGGAGAGGUAAUUUUAGGGAAUCGAACAGUUGCUUCUGCUUUAAUUUCUGAUGCUUUACGAAGGCAGAGCUGAA